CACGAAAAAGACCAUCUCAGUUCGGAUUGCAGCCUGCAACUCGGCUGCAUGAAGCUGGAAUCGCUAGUAAUCGCAGAUCAGAAUGCUGCGGUGAAUACGUUCCCGGGUCUUGUACACACCGCCCGUCACACCAUGGGAGUUGGAAAUGCCCGAAGUCAGUGACCGAACCGAAAGGAAGGAGCUGCCGAAGGUGGAGCCGAUGACUGGGGUGAAGUCGUAACAAGGUAUC
rnacentral:rRNA from 1 species